rnacentral:rRNA from 1 species
UGCAAGUCGAGGGCACUUGAGGGGCAACUCGCAAGUGACCGGCGAACGGGUGCGUAACACGUGAGCGACCUUGCCUCGUGGUGGGGGAUAGCCGGCCCAACGGCCGGGUAAUACCGCAUAGGGUGGUUUUCUCGCAUGGGAGAACCAGCAAAGCUGUGGCGCAAGCCAUGGCGCCACAGGGGGGGCUCGCGGCCUAUCAGCUAGUUGGGGGGGUAAUGGCCCACCAAGGCGACGACGGGUAGCUGGUCUGAGAGGAUGGCCAGCCACAUUGGGACUGAGAGACGGCCCAGACUCCUACGGGAGGCAGCAGUGGGGAAUCUUGCGCAAUGGCCGAAAGGCUGACGCAGCGACGCCGCGUGGGGGAGGAAGGCCUUCGGGUUGUAAACCCCUGUUGCCCGGGACGAAUGCGCUCUUUAGAGAGUGUUGACGGUACCGGGUGAGGAAGCACCGGCUAACUCCGUGCCAGCAGCCGCGGUAAUACGGAGGGUGCGAGCGUUGUCCGGAAUCACUGGGCGUAAAGGGCGCGUAGGCGGCUCAUGAAGGCUGUGGUGAAAGUCCGGGGCUCAACCUCGGAUCGGCCGUGGCGACUCGUGGGCUGGAGCACUGUAGAGGCGGGUGGAAUUCCGGGUGUAGCGGUGGAAUGCGUAGAGAUCCGGAAGAACACCAGUGGCGAAGGCGGCCCGCUGG